CCUGAGACUAGAGUCACACCUCUGCACUCCUAGUGGCCUUGGUGUGCUAGAGUUCUCGGAGAGUGACUGCUGAUCUUUAAUUACUGGUUGGUUCUUCAUGUAGCUCAACCAGUCACUGGUACAGCAACACCC